CAAUCGAUCUCCACAAAUUUUCCGUGAAAAAUUUCAUCUUCGAUCUCCAUAAAUAUAAAUAUAUCUUUUUAACUAGGAAAAUAAGAAGUAAAAAGAGGAAAGUUUUACUGUGUCCUGACGGUAACAGGGAAAGUCUACCUCGGUCUCAGCUCUGUCCUUCUCUGCUCUCUCUUCCCCAUUAUUGCCGGUUUUCUCCUCUUCGCCGCUCUUUGCUGCCUCAUCGCCUUCCGCCGCCGCCGCCGGAUCUCUCUCAGUCGCGAGUGGUUCGGUUCGGAUGGUUCAGCCUCGAACCGAACCGUGACGAACCGAUAUAACCGCCGCCACUCACGCGAAGCUUAUGCCCUCAAUUGGAUUGUGGGAACGAAUUAGGGCACACAUUCUUUGCUCUUUCCCUCUCCUUGGUGCAUUUCCUUCUUCUCACCGCUUCUUUCAACAGAUAUAUAUAUAUCUGAUGACACAGUUCUGACUCCAACACACCUCCGCGUGGUGCUCUGUGGUCUCUUUUUGAAUCGAUAGCGGCACGUAGCAACUCCCAAGUAUUCGUCUUCUUUUCCCCCUCUUUUAAUCUUUCUUCGCCAUUUUAUGACCACCCUUGUCGCCAUCUUACUGGAACUAGGCCUUCAUCUCUAUUCUUGGCGUCUGGUGCUACACAUCAAGCAAUCAAAACAGAAUGGGAGUUGGAAAUGUGUGGAUAAAUUUUUGGGUUGUACUUAAUCAGAUCAUCGAACGUGUUACUAGUUUCUUUAGGAGAUGCGCCUUCAAUGUUCUAUCAAUGGGUUCAAUUCCCAUUCAUGUUGCUUUCAUCAUGGAUGGGAAUAGGAGAUUUGCAAAGAAAAAAAAGUUGGCAGAAGGGGCUGGCCAUAGGUUUGGGUAUUUGUCUUUGGUGUCCAUGCUCAAGUACUGCUUUGAAUUUGGUGUGAAGUACGUGACGAUCUACGCCUUCAGCAUCGAUAAUUUUCAAAGAAGUCCAGAAGAAGUUCAAAGUGUGAUGGAUCUGAUGUUGGAAAAAGUUGAAUUGUUGAUUAGAGAAGAAAGCCUUGUGAAUCAAUAUGGAGUUAGACUUCACUUCUUAGGAAACUUAGGUAUGUUGAGUGAACCCGUCAGGAAAGCGCUUGAAAAAGCGGCGAUAGCCACAAGCAACAAUAACAGAGCAGUACUUUCUAUCUGUGUUGCUUACGCUUCCACUGAUGAAAUUGUUCGUGCCGUUGAAAAGUCUUGUGAAGAGAAAUGGGAUGAGAUGAAUUUGAAAAGUGCAAAUGGAGAAGGAAAUGAUUUAGGCAAAGAGUUAGUAAUGGCUGAAAAUGGUGAGAACUUCAUAACAUUAGCUGAUGUUGAGAAGCAUAUGUAUACCACGGUUACUCCCGAACCCGAUAUGCUAAUCCGCACGUCUGGAGAGGCCCGCUUGAGCAAUUUCCUUUUGUGGCAGACCUCUUCAUGUUAUUUGUAUUCUCCCUCAGUACUUUGGCCAGAAAUUAAUUUUUGGCAUUUUCUGUGGGCAAUCUUGAAUUUUCAAAGAAACAAUCUUCGUUUGGUAAAGAAAAGGAAACAGUUAUAAUCUUGAAAGAGCAGAAUUAACUUUUGGCAUUUGCUGUGGCCAAUCUUGAAUAUUCAAAGAAACUAUCUUCAUUUGGUAAAGAAAAGGUAACAGUUGUAGUCUUGUAUGAGGAUUCGUUCGUAAUUGUCUCCAUAAGGAAAUAGAUUUGAUUAAAUAUCGAGGGAACACAUUUAGAAGAGGAACUAACAGCAGAGGAUGGCCUUUGAAGGGUUCUUGCAUGAUGACCAAGACCCACUCGGAGGGAAGACACCAUAUUUACUUGCUAUGAACCUAUGUUAUAAAGCUAACCAUUCU